rnacentral:rRNA from 1 species
GACGAACGCUGGCGGCGUGCCUAAUACAUGCAAGUCGAGCGCAGGAAGCUGACGGAACUCUUCGGAGGGAAGGCAGUGGAAUGAGCGGCGGACGGGUGAGUAACACGUAAGGAACCUGCCUCAAGGAUUGGGAUAACUCCGAGAAAUCGGAGCUAAUACCGGAUAGUUCAACGGACCGCAUGGUCCGCUGAUGAAAGGCGCUCCGGCGUCACCUUGAGAUGGCCUUGCGGUGCAUUAGCUAGUUGGUGGGGUAACGGCCAACCAAGGCGACGAUGCAUAGCCGACCUGAGAGGGUGAUCGGCCACACUGGGACUGAGACACGGCCCAGACUCCUACGGGAGGCAGCAGUAGGGAAUCUUCCACAAUGGACGAAAGUCUGAUGGAGCAACGCCGCGUGAGUGAUGAAGGUUUUCAGAUCGUAAAACUCUGUUGUAAGGGAAGAACACGUACGAGAGGAAAUGCUCGUACCUUGACGGUACCUUACGAGAAAGCCACGGCUAACUACGUGCCAGCCGCCGCGGUAA